AUUGAACGCUGGCGGCAGGCCUAACACAUGCAAGUCGAACGAGUGGCGGACGGGUGAGUAAUGUCUGGGAAACUGCCCGAUGGAGGGGGAUAACUACUGGAAACGGUAGCUAAUACCGCAUACCAUCGGAUGUGCCCAGAUGGGAUUAGCUAGUAGGUGGGGUAACGGCUCACCUAGGCGACGUUCCCUAGCUGGUCUGAUAGGAUGACCAGCGACACUGGAACUGAGACACGGUCCAGACGCCGACGGGAGGCAGCAGUGGGGAAUAGUGCAAAAUGGGCGCAAGCCUGAUGCAGCCAUGCCGCGUGUAGGAAGAAGGCCUUCGGGUUGUAAAGUACUAUCAGCGGGGAGGCGUUACCCGCAGAAGAGGCACCGGCUAAGUCCGUGCCAGCAGCCGCGGUAAUAC
rnacentral:rRNA from 1 species